rnacentral:tRNA from 2 species
GGUGCUGUAGCUCAGAUGGUAGAGCAAUGGACUGAAAAUCCAUGUGUCGGCAGUUCGAUUCUUCCCAGCACCACCA